AUGUCUGGACUCCAGGAGGAGAGAGACCAGCUAGUUCAGUCAAUGUCUGGACUCCAGGAGGAGAGAGACAAGCUCUCGCAGUCUCUCUUCGGCCAAAAAGAUGAGAGAGACCAGUUGAUGCAGUCAAUGUGUGGUUUAAAGGGACAGAGAUACCAGCUAACACAGACACUCAGCCGUCUAGAGCAGGAAAGAGACAAGCUGUCAUCUCUCAGCCUUCAAACACGGGAGCGGUACCAGGUGGACCAGUUUGUCUCUGAUCUAAAAGAAGAGAAAGAGCAGCUAGUUCAGUCAAUGGAUGUUCUGAGAGAACAGAGAGAACAGCUCACAGAGGAGAGAGACCAGUUGCAGAUGGACGUCGCUACUCUACGGUAUCAGCUGCUGUUACAGGGGCGGAGCCACAACCAGCAGCCCUCAGAGAACCACGUUGGCAAGGCAACACGCACAAAGGUUGUGGCUACAGCGAGAGGGGGUCAGAUGCCAAAAAUGCAUGAUGAUGGUGAUGUCACUCAUAGAUGUCUGGCCACGGUCUACUCCUACAAGACCAUCCGUUUGGCACAGUCUGCACAGGACCACUUGGGAGAGAAGGAGGGAACAGAUAUGGAGCAGAGUGAACUGAUGAGGGAGAUCGAGUCGCUGGGGUUAGAACUCAGAAGCUCACGAGAGGUACUGAAGAAGACCCAAUCAGAGGCUCAAAGGUGGUACCGUGAGCUGGGUGUGUCUGAGGUCAGACGAGAGGAGGCUGAGAAGAGGGCGGGAAAGGCAGCCAAUGAGGUGAAGGGGAUGAGAGAGGAAACCAAGGAGGUGGAGAAGACAAAGAGGGAAAACCACACACUGAGAGCAGAGUUGGGAGAGGUGAAGAGCAGACUAUUGUGUCUGGAGAGAGAGAAGACCGAUGCUCACUCACUGAGGAUCAAGAUCCAAGAGAAGUUCAGCUUGCUUCAGGCUGAACUCAAAGCCAAGAGUGUUGCUCUGAAGGAGCUGAGUUCAGAGUACACAUCUCUGAAGGGAGAGCAGGGCAGCAGAGAGGACUGGAGCAACACACUCACCUUACUGAGGGUGCGCUAUGAUGACAUCAGAAAUAAGUACAAUGUUCUCCUGAGAAAGAGUCAGACGGAUCUGGACAUAGCUCCUCUAAAGGCCAAGCUGUCAUGCCUGGUGGUGAAGUGCCAGCAGAGGAACAGUCUACUGGUGCAGUUGAUGCGAGCCCUGCGUCGGUAUGGCUGCCUGGACUACAAUCUGACCCAGGAGGCUGAGGACCUGCUUAAUGACACAGCACUGCAGGACUACGCCAGCACCUUCACUGCAGCUCUGCAGGAGAACACCCACCUUCUCCCACCUGCAGCCUCAGAACGACCGGAGUGCUCACAGACCUCUGCUGCAUCCUCCGCAGCACAGGAGCUGAGUAAAGCUGUGUCUGAAGGCAGUAGGAGGGAACACUUCAGAGUGGGUGUGGCCACAGCAGACUACUGCCCCUCUCCGAACAUGCCUCACACUCUACUGCCAAUGCUGCCCCUUUCUGCGGGUGAAUCAGUCCAAGUUACUGGACUUCCAGACAGACAUGGGAUGUACCAUGCCGAGGUGAAAGGGGAGACUGGCCUGGUCCCUGCCCGUUUCUUAGAGGAGAAUGGGAGACCACUCAUCCUGACUUCCCCCUCGCCAGAGAGAUGUGCCAGUCUGACUAGGAAGCUGACCAGUCCAGGGAAGAUAAUCAACCUUCACCAGCAGCUGCAGAACACUCUCUCCAACAGCUACCAGGUUUCCCCUUCCAAUACCAGCCCCCAGGUUUAUUCCAGUCCCCCUCCAGGACAGGGGUACUCCCCAGGAUACCCCAACCACAACCCUGCUGCCCCCAACCGACCAAAGCAUACCCUUGUAGCAACUACCCCUAUUAUUACUAGUACUAGUCUCCUAUCUGCCACUGCCCCCACUAAAACUACCAGUGAUGGUGCUACCUCUUCUAAGCAGACCCCAAACAGAGCACAUCCAACUACCAGCCCUCCUGUCUACACCACCACUACUGCCCUUAGCCGUGGUAAAGAACCCCUCUCUAAAACUGGCUCUGCUGCUGCUACCUCCAAUGUUACAACCCCUGUUAAUACCCCUCCUACCGCUGUGGCUCGGAUUGUUGAAGCACAAACUACCACUGCCUUGUGGAACACUGCCCCCACCAAAUCUGCCCCUCCACCUAUUACCGCUGGAACUACAGCCCCCACCAAAAUGGCCCCCAUCACUACUGCUCUUCCCCUUGCUGAGAUGUCACGACUGCCUGAUGAGGAUCAUUGCAUCAAGAAGCCCCUCUCCAACAUCCAGCCUGAACAAGCUAAACCACCCAAACCCAGAGCUAUACCAGAACCUCCAGCUGAGGUGAGCUCUGUUGAGGUCAUCAGGACAGUGGGACAGAGCAGCCUCAUGAUUGGUUGGGAGAGACCGCCACUGGAUGAGCUGGGCUGCAGCAACGGAACCUUUGUGUAUGGAUACAUGAUCUAUGUGGAAGGGGAGUUCCACAAGUCUGUCAUGAGCUCUGCAUGCACGAAGUGUAUUCUGGAGAAUCUAGAUCUGUCCGGCCCAGUCCACAUCAGUGUUCAGACCCUGGGCUCCAACGGUCUCUAUGCGGAGAAGGUCCACCUCAUCUACAGGGGAAAACACACCCAGUUUAGGACAGAUCACACCCGUGCUCCCUGCACAGACCCUGCCUACCGAGACUGCAGGACUCCGCCCACACACCGACACAAUGGCUCCACCCAACCACUUGUGGCCAUCUACAACUACAACCCUCUGAAGGACAGUCCUAACCUCCACCCCAGCAGAGAGCUGGCCCUGAGAGAGGGAGACACCGUCAUGCUGCUAGGCAACCCACGCAACGACGGCUUCUGUCAGGCCGAGGUGAAUGGCAGACGAGGUCUGGCUCCUGUGGCGUUACUAGAGGAAGUUCCUGUUCCAGACAGACAUGUAAGCCCCGCCCCUCCCCAAUCUUCUCCUGAGAGAGGAGCAGAUGAUAGGCCACUGUGCCUGCCAAUCAGAGAGAGAACAAGAUGGGCCGCUGUGACUGUCAAUCAGUGAGAGAACAAGAUGAUGGGCCACUGUGGCUGCCAAUCAAAGAAUGCUUACCUGCAGAGAGAUUAUAGUGGCCAGAGCUAAUGACAUCGUCAAACACUGCCUGCUUGUGACACAAACGUUCAUAACCGCUCGCUGCCCAAAGUAAUUUGAAAUGGAAGGCUACAGUAGAGCAUCAGCCUAAAUGUGGGAAGUUGUGUGGCCCAGUUUGACAUUGUGCUUCGAUGGACAGUUCCUUAUAGCCUACACAAUACUCACUGUGAUUGUCGAAUCACCUCUAACUGUCACCUCUAUCAAAAUUAUCUCUAAUCAAUUAUCUCUAAAUCCCCACUGUUCUGUGUGUAAUCUCUCAUGGACAGAUGCACGUAAUAUAGCUGGUAUUGUAGUGUCUGUCAACAGACUGUGGGAUGCGACGACUAUCAAGGAACUUGAUCAGUGAUUUUUCAUCACUGAUAAUUUUGGACAAAUCACGAUUUCGCAUCUUUCGAAUUUCGGAAGGGGAAGGGACAUUUGGCCCAUAGACUUGCCUGUAACUUGCAAAGGCGGGUGGAGCUACUGCCCUGCCUCCGCUGCUUGCUCGAGUCUCUUUUCAAACACAUCUUCCCCCAGAAAAGAAUUGAGUAUCUAACUCAAUUAUGCAAGAUUGUAAUUCUGGGUUUCCAAGAUUAUUCUGUAUGUGACAAGUGUCAAAAAGGUCAAAGGUUGGCCUAAUGGAUCUGACAACCUGUCUGAUAUCAAGUGCAUUCAUGGUAAUAAAGCUAAGCCAUUUUACAGGAUCCUUUAUCAAGCCAAAUAGGAUAAAAAGAGGUCCAUACCAAAGACUUUGAUAUUUCAGUCCUUUGUCGUUAUACACUGAACAAAAAUAUAAAUGCAAAAUGUAAAGUGUUGGUCCCAUGUUUCAUGAGUUGAAAUGAAAGAUCCCGGAAAUGUUCCAUUCACAUAAAAAAAUCAUAUCUCUCUAAUUUGGUGCAGAAAUUUGUUUUACAUCCCUGUUAGUGAGCAUUUCUCUUUUGGCAAGAUAAUCCAUCCACCUGGCAGGUGUGGCAUAUCAAGAAGAUGAUUAAACAGCAUGGUCAUUACACAGGUGCACCUUGUGCUAGGGACAAUAAAAGGCCACACUAAAAUGUGCAGUGUUGUCACACAACGCAAUGUGAUGUCUCAAGUUUUGAGGGAGCGUGCAAUUGGCAUGCGGACUGCAGGAAUGACCACCAGAGCUGUUUCCAGAGAAUUCGAUGUUUAAUUUCUCAACCAUAAGCCGCCUCCAACAUUGUUUUAGAGAAUUUGGCGUGUGGUUUGCUGAUGUCAAUGUUGGAGGGUUAUGGUAUGGCGGUGGGAUUAUGGUAUGGGCAGGUGGCGGCGGUGUUAUAGUAUGGGCAGGCAUAAGCUACGGACAACGGAAACAAGUGCAUUUUAUCUAUGGCAAUUUGAAUGCACAGAGAUACCGUGACGAGAUCCUGAGGCCCAUUGUCGUGCCAUUCAUCCGCUGCCAUCACCUCAUGUUUCAGCAUGAUAAUGAACAGCUCCAUGACGCAACGAUCUGUACACAAUUCCUGGAAGUUGGAAAUGUCCCAGUUCUUACAUGACCUGCAUACUCACCAGACAUGUCACCCGUUGACCAUGUUUGGGAUGCUCUGGAUUGACGUGCACCACAGUGUGUUCCAGUUCUCGCCAAUAUCCAGCAACUUUGCACAGCCAUUGAAGAGGAGUGGGACAACAUUUCACAGGCCACAAUCAACAGCCUGAUCAACUCUAUGCAAAGGAGAUGUGUCACGCUGCACGAGGCAAAUAAUGGUCACACUGGUUUUCUGAUCCACUCCGCUACUUUUUUAGGUAUCUGUAUUCUCGGUCAUGUAAAAUAAAUAGAUUAGGGCCUAAAUACUUUAUUUCAAUUGACUGAUUUCCUUAUAUGAACUGUAACUCUGUAAAAUCAUAGAAAUUGUUGCGUGCUGCAUUUCUAUUUUUGUUUAGUGUAUUUACAAAAGCUGAUCAUGGUUGUUCAUCGAAUCAUGAAUUUGAUUGAGGUCUGAGAUGUUCUACUGUAGAAUCUAAUCACUCGUUGAAGUCAUGUCAUUCAGAUGGAUAGAAAUUUGUCACAGAUAUAUAUUUUUUGAGAUGAUUAAAGAACCGGAGGUAUGCCAUUGGGAUGAACAGUACUGUAUGGGUGCCUGUGGCUGUGGGUAUCAGUCUCCUUUCAUUUCCUCAGUCUCUGUCUACAGUCUAACUGAAGUUAAUAACCUUUUACUUUUCUGUUCUGAUCUGAAAUGGAGAAAAUACAUUCUGUGUGAGACGCAUGACUACUACAUACUUGUCCCUCCUCUGAUUGUGGGAACGGCCAUAGGGCCACAAAUGUCUGUAUCACUCUGUGCAUAUGUCAUUUGAUUUCCUAAUGAUUUCUUUAGACUGUAUUAAGAGAAUAAAUGUUUAGAUGACAUCAGAUAUAGUUGUAUGUCCUGUAUUUUCUGGAUUAUAUUGCGGUGUACAUUCUUGAUUUUACCACUAGAGGGCAGUCAUCGCAAACUUUCCAACAUGCUACUCUCAAUAGCCAAAUAAAUCUGUGGGUGUACUUAUCUCCUCUCUGUUUAGGGACUAUUGAGCAACCCCCCCCCCCUGUGGGAUGCAGAUAAUUGUAUAU
ensembl:lncRNA